rnacentral:rRNA from 1 species
GAUGAACGCUGGCGGCGUGCUUAACACAUGCAAGUCGAACGAGAAGUGAAGACGGAAACCUUCGGGCGGAAGGCUUUAUUUCGAGUGGCGGACGGGUGAGUAACGCGUGGGUAACCUGCCUCAUACAGGGGGAUAACAGUUGGAAACGACUGUUAAUACCGCAUAAGACCACAGCACCGCAUGGUGCGGGGUAAAAACUCCGGUGGUAUGAGAUGGACCCGCGUUCGAUUAGCCAGUUGGCGGGGUAACGGCCCCCCAAAGCGACGAUCGAUAGCCGAUCUGAGAUGAUGACCGUCCACAUUGGGACUGAGACACGGCCCAAACUCCUACGGGAGGCAGCAGUGCGGAAUAUUGCACAAUGGGGGAAACCCUGAUGCAGCGACGCCGCGUGAGUGAAGAAGUAUUUCGGUAUGUAAAGCUCUAUCAGCAGGGAAGAAAAUGACGGUACCUGAGUAAGAAGCCCCGGCUAACUACGUG